AUUGAACGCUGGCGGCAGGCUUAAUACAUGCAAGUCGAGCGAGCGGCGGACGGGCGAGUAAUGUCUGGGAAACUGCCUGAUGGAGGGGGCUAACUACUGGAAACGGUAGCUAAUACCGCAUACCAUCAGAUGUGCUCAGAUGGGAUUAGCUAGCAGGUGGGGUAAUGGCUCAUCUAGGCGACGAUCCCUAGCUGGUCUGAGAGGAUGACCCGCCACACUGGAACUGAGACACGGUCCAGACUCCUACGGGAGGCAGCAGUGGGGAAUAUUGCACAAUGGGCGAAAGCCUGAUGCAGCCAUGCCGCGUGUGUGAAGAAGGCCUUCGGGUUGUAAAGCACUUUCGGCGAGGAGGCGUUACUCGAAGAGGAAGCACCGGCUAACUCCGUGCCAGCAGCCGCGGUAAUAC
rnacentral:rRNA from 1 species